UGUUGAACUGCAAUUGGAUCAAAUAUAAGCAUCAGUUCAGUAAUGCAAAAGAGCAAGCAUGGAUGUCAUGUAUGACCUUUAUAAGAUUUGGAUUUAAAACUUACAUCAAAUAUUUCAAACCCAGCGAUAUCCAGCACACCAAUGAAGUACUGGCGUGGCUGCUUGGUGUCUAAGGAUUGGUUAAUCCUCAUUACCAUCCACAGAAACAUCUUCUCAUACACUGCCUUAGACAGUGCACCGAUAGCAUAGUACACCUUGAGACCUUUGAUGAGGUCGGCAGAGUUGAGACCCAUCAGAUAAGCUACUUUGUCAGCAUCUGAUGAAGUGAGGAUGUGCACACUGUAAAUCACGUAUCAUUGCCAUCGGCCUCUGCCUGCUCCUCUCGUUGCUUCUGCUUAAACUUCAUGUUACCAUAGUGCAUGAUGGCACCGGUCAGCUUGUAAAUACUGUUCUUCUCUUCUUGAGUGAAGCCCAGCACAUCAAAGGC